GGGUUGUGAGGUUAAGCGACUAAGCGUACACGGUGGAUGCCCUGGCAGUCAGAGGCGAUGAAGGACGUGCUAAUCUGCGAUAAGCGUCGGUAAGGUGAUAUGAACCGUUAUAACCGGCGAUUUCCGAAUGGGGAAACCCAGUGUGUUUCGACACACUAUCAUUAACUGAAUCCAUAGGUUAAUGAGGCGAACCGGGGGAACUGAAACAUCUAAGUACCCCGAGGAAAAGAAAUCAACCGAGAUUCCCCCAGUAGCGGCGAGCGAACGGGGAGCAGCCCAGAGCCUGAAUCAGUGUGUGUGUUAGUGGAAGCGUCUGGAAAGGCGCGCGAUACAGGGUGACAGCCCCGUACACAAAAAUGCACAUACUGUGAGCUCGAUGAGUAGGGCGGGACACGUGGUAUCCUGUCUGAAUAUGGGGGGACCAUCCUCCAAGGCUAAAUACUCCUGACUGACCGAUAGUGAACCAGUACCGUGAGGGAAAGGCGAAAAGAACCCCGGCGAGGGGAGUGAAAAAGAACCUGAAACCGUGUACGUACAAGCAGUGGGAGCACGCUUAGGCGUGUGACUGCGUACCUUUUGUAUAAUGGGUCAGCGACUUAUAUUCUGUAGCAAGGUUAACCGAAUAGGGGAGCCGAAGGGAAACCGAGUCUUAACUGGGCGUUAAGUUGCAGGGUAUAGACCCGAAACCCGGUGAUCUAGCCAUGGGCAGGUUGAAGGUUGGGUAACACUAACUGGAGGACCGAACCGACUAAUGUUGAAAAAUUAGCGGAUGACUUGUGGCUGGGGGUGAAAGGCCAAUCAAACCGGGAGAUAGCUGGUUCUCCCCGAAAGCUAUUUAGGUAGCGCCUCGUGAAUUCAUCUCCGGGGGUAGAGCACUGUUUCGGCAAGGGGGUCAUCCCGACUUACCAACCCGAUGCAAACUGCGAAUACCGGAGAAUGUUAUCACGGGAGACACACGGCGGGUGCUAACGUCCGUCGUGAAGAGGGAAACAACCCAGACCGCCAGCUAAGGUCCCAAAGUCAUGGUUAAGUGGGAAACGAUGUGGGAAGGCCCAGACAGCCAGGAUGUUGGCUUAGAAGCAGCCAUCAUUUAAAGAAAGCGUAAUAGCUCACUGGUCGAGUCGGCCUGCGCGGAAGAUGUAACGGGGCUAAACCAUG
rnacentral:rRNA from 1 species